GCAUCUGUGGUGUAAUGGUAUCAUGUUCGCUUCCCAUGCGAGCGAACCGGGUUCGAUUCCCGGCAGAUGCA